UUUUCAAAUUGACGAAACCGAACUACAACUGACUGUUAUAUUGAAAAUAUCAAUAAUUUUGACAUACGAGGUGUGUUCAAAGGAAAAGUAAUCCACCUCGGAUAUAAUACACUUGUGUCAACGCUUUUUCAAUUCUCGAAGCACUUCCGAAAUCGUAUGAUGGUAUAUGAUGAUCGAUAUGACUCGUAUAUCUUAAUGAAAUUAUAUAAUAAUAUAAUAACAUUAAGUUAAACAUUCCGCUAGCUUUAUAUGCGCAAUAAAGUAGUCAGAUCGGAUAUAACGGAAAAUAUAAUAAUGAAAUAAUGCUGAACGUCGUUGCCGCUUCUGGAUGUGGUUACCGUUGUUGUUGUGAAUAAAGCUGAACUUUGAUGUUUCUUCUCGGGUUACGGCACUGUUAUUGUAUUUUGUGCUGCUAUUUGUUUGUUUGUUGCGUGUUUUAAACGUUUUGAAUGUUUAAUAUUUAUUUAUUUUAUUUAUUAGAAAAUUUCACCAGUGUGUAAGUUUUUGACUUGUUUUGUAAAUGUUUUUAGGUUGAUAUAUUUCAUUUGUAUUUGCUGCUUUCUUAAAUCGAAGUAUUUCACUUAAGUUUUAAUUAAAUUUAAUUUGCUGCUUUUCUUGAAUCGAAGUAUUUUACUUAAAUUUGAUUUGCUGCUUUUCUUAAAUCGAAGUAUUUCGCUUAAAUUUAAUUAAAUUAAGUCCGGUAGAUAUCGACGCUUCUC